rnacentral:rRNA from 1 species
UACGUAGGGUGCGAGCGUUGCCCGGAUUUAUUGGGCGUAAAGGGCGCGCAGGCGGUACGGCACGUCCGUUGUGAAAUCGCUCGGCUCAACUGGGCGGGGUCAGCGGAUACGGCCGCACUUGAGCAAGCUAGGGGGCAAUGGAAUUCCCGGUGUAGUGGUGGAAUGCGUAGAUAUCGGGAGGAACACCAGUGGCGAAGGCGGUUGCCUGGAGCUUUGCUGACGCUGAGGCGGCGAAAGCGAUGGGGAGCGAGGUACC